rnacentral:tRNA from 1 species
GCCUGGGUGGCUCAGUCGGUUGAGCAUCUGACUUCAGCUCAGGUCAUGAUCCUGCAGUUUGUGGGUUCUAGCCCCGCAUCACGCU